GCUAAGAACUCUGGUAACAAAGAAACUAUCCGUCGUGGAGCUCUCAUGAAGAUGCUUCUGAACUGCGCCCAGACCUUACCACUCUGGAUUGGCAAUUCCGGAGAGAAGCCGCCUGCUCUGUGCGGCGCCGUACCACCCGAACAGAACUAUGUGGCUAAGGUAAUUAACGUCAACGACAUGGUAGCUUGUCUCGUACGGGGCAGCGAGGGAGAGGACAAUUGGAUCCUAGCCGAGGUCGUUAGCUACAACACAACGACCAAUAAAUACGAGGUGGACGACAUCGACGAGGAACAGAAGGAACGACACACACUCAGCCGUCGACGAGUCUAUCCUCUCCCGUUGAUGAGGGCUAAUCCUGAAGUCAAUCCUGAGGCACUUUACCCUAAAGGCUCCAUUGUAAUGGCUCUCUACCCUCAAACGACGUGCUUCUACAAGGCCGUCAUUAACCGCCUGCCCACUCUGGCCACCGAGGAAUAUGAGGUACUGUUCGAGGACCCCACCUAUGCCGAUGGCUACUCCCCCCCGCUGAUGGUGGCUCAGAGAUACGUCAUUCAGAUCAAGGAGGUUAGCAAGAAGAAGUGAAGCGUCGUCAAGCGUUCGGGGUCGUGGAGGUGAUUAGUGAAGCGUUUUGGAGUUGUUACAGUGAUUAGUGAUGCGUUUUGGAGUUGUUACAGUGAUUAGUGAAGCGUUUUGGAGUUGUUACAGUGAUUAGUGAUGCGUUUUGGAGUUGUUACAGUGAUUAGUGAAGCGUUUUGGAGACUUUGUGGAGGUGAUUAGUGGUGUGGUUUGGGGUCGUGGAGGUGAUUAGUGAAGCAUUUUGGAGUUGUUACAGUGAUUAGUGAUGCGUUUUGGAGACUUUGUGGAGGUGAUAGUGAAGCAUUUGGGGUCUUGAAGGUGAUUAGUGAAGCAUUUUGGAGUUGUUACAGUGAUUAGUGAUGCGUUUUGGAGACUUUGUGGAGGCGAUAGUGAAGCAUUUGAGGUCAUUGAGAUUACAUUGACGCGUUUGGUUGAUCCGAUGGAGUUUGCUUACGUCGCGUGCUGAAUUAUUGUCAUGGCGACCGCAGACGUUGAUUCUGUUUAUUUAUACGGCGCGCAAGACGAGGUCGUUAGGCGUGUGUGUUUUAUGAGUUUUUUCCCGUAUUCGAGUUUGAGAUCUAGUAUAAUUAGUGCCCCUCCCAAGUGCUCACCUGAAGAUUAGAUUCCCCAAGUGCUCACCUGAAGAUUAGUUCCCCCACAGUACUCACCUGAAGAACCACCCUCCCACCUAGUUUAACCACCCCUCUAACUAUCUACUGGUGAUAGGGUGACUAAUUUCCAGGUCACACGUAAACACUAGAAUGACCUAAUCACCCCGUUCGCGAAAUAGCAUGAGUGAAUGACUCGUCGAACUAACACAUGCAGAAUACACAAGCAAAACGAAUCCAAAAAGUUAAAUUCUCUGCUUGUCGAGGAAUCCAAAAUGACUACAGCCCUAAAUAACGUUGUAAAAUGAUAAAAUACAGUACAGUAAUUGUAUCUACAGUGAACAUAUGUAGAAUUUGUAAAUAUGUGUUUGGGUUACUGUAUACUGUGUAACUGAAAUACAGUACUGUAGCUUGACUGUACCUACAUAAACUUUGAAAUAUAUUAAUGUGGGAACUGAAAUAUCACUGUAAGCUAAAAUACAGUACUGUAGCUUGACUGUACCUACAUAAACUUUGAAAUAUGUUAAUGUGGGAACUGAAAUACCACUGUAAGCUAAAAUACAGUACUGUAGCUUGACUGUACCUACAUAAACUUUGAAAUAUGUUAAUGUGGGAACUGAAAUACCACUGUAAGCUAAAAUACAGUACUGUAGCUUGACUGUAUCUACAUAAACUUUGAAAUUUGUUAAUGUGGGAACUGAAAUAUCACUGUAAGCUAAAAUACAGUACUGUAGCUUGACUGUACCUACAUAAACUUUGAAAUAUAUUAAUGUGGGAACUGAAAUACCACUGUAAGCUGAAAUACAGUACUGUAGCUUGACUGUACCUAUAUAAACUUUGAAAUAUGUUAAUGGGAACUGAAAUACCACUGUAAGCUAAAAUACAGUACUGUAGCUUGACUGUACCUACAUAAACUUUGAAAUUUGCUGAUGUGGGAACUGAAAUACCACUGUAAGCUAAAAUACAGUACUGUAGCUUGACUGUACCUACAUAAACUUUGAAAUUUGUUAAUGUGGGAACUGAAAUACCACUGUAAGCUAAAAUACAGUACUGUAGCUUGACUGUGCCUACAUAAACUUUGAAAUAUGUUAAUGUGGGAACUGAAAUACCACUGUAAGCUAAAAUACAGUACUGUAGCUUGACUGUAUCUACAUAAACUUUGAAAUUUGUUAAUGUGGGAACUGAAAUAUCACUGUAAGCUAAAAUACAGUACUGUAGCUUGACUGUACCUACAUAAACUUUGAAAUAUGUUAAUGUGGGAACUGAAAUACUACUGUAAGCUGAAAUACAGUACUGUAGCUUGACUGUACCUACAUAAACUUUGAAAUAUGUUAAUGUGGGAACUGAAAUACUACUGUAAGCUGAAAUACAGUACUGUAGCUUGACUGUACCUACAAAAUAGUACAUAGGCCUAAUUUUUAGUACAAUAUCAGAUUGAAAAAAGCAUUACAAAAUAUAAGGAAAUAUUUUAACUUGUACAAAACUUAUUAUAUAAAUGACAUAAAUUA
rnacentral:misc_RNA from 1 species